CUGAGUCUUGGAUUCCUGUUGACUGGUCACGGUUCCCUCAAUGCAUUCUUGCAUUCGAGGAACCUUUAUGACAGUCCAGAAUGCCGUUGUGGCUCGGCUGCUGAGACAUGGGAGCAUGUUCUCUGUGAGUGCACAAGGUAUGCAGAUUUUCGAGAUCUGAGGGGGAUGGGUAUAAGUGAGGUUAGUGGCGGGUUUGACGUAAGUCAAUCACUCUCCACUAGUGAUAGGGUUAGAAGAAUGAGUGAGUUUGCUAGAGCUGCAUUUUCCAGGCGACGUUUGCAAUUGCAGGAAGGAAUUGUAUGAAUGAUGAUGGAUGGUAGAUGUGAGAAUGUGGGGGUACGAAUGUGGGGGUGUUUCUGAAUGGUAAUUUUUGUUGAACAUUGUGUUGUGAUGGGGCUACCAACCCUUAACUGUUUGGAGUUUAAAUUGGAAGUGCCCUUCUGGUACGAGGCCUGACCGGAGGCUUUUAAUCUGGUACCACGGGUAACCAGGAGCCCACGGAACUUGUUCCGUCCUGGUUAGUUGGUGCGGCCCUUCGGGGAGUAUCGUGGUGGUUGUGGUUUAACACCCAAAUGCGGGUAGAGCAUCGCUCGACGUGGAGUUGCGUCAUACAACCGGGUUCCGUGACCCAGAUUACGGAAGAGGCUUAGAUAGUCCUCGUGCCAAACCAAGGUAGAAGUCACAACCAAACAGUCGUGUCUUUAAUUGGUACCUGCGGAAUUGUUCCAAGGGGGCGGUGAUUGACGCUUGAAUUAAUCCUAUACUAGGAACCGUGAGAUUAAGCCAUUGCGGCAGGUGCUCACGUUAAGCCCACUGACUUUCAUGUCCCUAUCUACUAUCUAGCGAAACCACAGCCAAGGGAACGGGCUUGGAAUAAUUAGCGGGGAAAGAAGACCCUUUUGAGCUUGACUCUAAUCUGGCAGUGUAAGGAGACAUAAGAGGUGUAGAAUAAGUGGGAGAUAUUAGACUUCGGUUUGGUAUCGACAAUGAAAUACCACUACUCUUAUUGUUUCCUUACUUACUUGAUUAAAUGGAACGUGUAUCAUUUCCUAGCCAUUAUACGGAUAUAAUUAUUAUGUCUUAUGGUAUUGGGUUUUGAUGCAAGCUUCUUGAUCAAAGUAUCACGAGUUUGUUAUAUAAUCGCAAACAAAUUCUUUAAUGAGAGAAUGCAUUUAUGUAUUAUUGAUUUAAAAAUUUGGUAUAACUCCAAUUACUCAGGUAUGAUCCAAUUCAAGGACAUUGCCAGGUAGGGAGUUUGACUGGGGCGGUACAUCUCUCAAAUAAUAACGGAGGUGUCCCAAGGCCAGCUCAGUGCGGACAGAA
rnacentral:ncRNA from 1 species